rnacentral:lncRNA from 1 species
UUAAGACCAGCUCAGAUUGCACAAGUUCAGGGAGAGGAGAAGACAAAUAGAACAAGUUUAAGGGUGACCUUCAUGCCUUGUGCCUUGGACCAGCACUGGGCUGGGUGGAGCAGCAGCAGAGGCUGGGACAAGCAUACACAGACGCAAGCUGUGCAGCAGCUGAGCCCUGCCACGUUCGGUCUCCAGGUUGUUCUCAGCCAAGAAAACAAAAAUCAAGUGCUCGAUGCCAGGAGACGGAGGACACUGCUGGGAUGAGGGCUGCUUAUGACUCAGCCUUGUAGCCCCAAGAAGCACCAGAUCGUAUGUGGACGGUCUGACCCUCGAGAUGGAUACUGGGUAUGAAUCUGUGAAAGGGUCCAUUGCCCUCUGCUCCUUUACUGGGAACUGAUUAACUAACCAUCUUGCAAGACUGCAGCUGGCAGCCGUCACCUCUUCCAAAAGUUUAACAACUGCCUUUUGUUUUUAAAACAGCCUGGGCCAAGUCUGUGCCUGCCGUGAGCUCCGUGAAGUCAGGCCGACUGCAGCAGGCGGGCGUGUGGCUCCAUGAACACGGUCAUGUCUCAUUAUACAGACAUGAGUACGGCCAGCAGGGAGCUACGCACGCUGGCAGCCUUGAAGUCAGCUAACCGGACCUGGAUGGAUGCCUAACAAGGGGACUGGUGCCGUGCGCAUACUUCCCACGGAGACUUGUCAAUUAAUCUGCGCAAACAUGGUAACCAAGCCCACUUGGAGUGAAAUCAGGUUAUAGACUGAAAUGAUAAGGAACGGCAGGAAAAGGGAAAUGAAGAAUUGUAAACCAGAGAGAGAUGAUAUUUGAGAUGAGACUCAAAAAGAGAUGGCCUUAGGAGGAUGCAGAGACCUGUAGGCUGUUCCAGAUGGGGGCAAUGGCAGAGAAGAAAAUGUCUGAAAUCUUCCUUUGCCUUUCAUCACGAGAAGCAGGAAUCUGACGGGUUUUUCGGACUGCCAGGUGCUUCAAGAGGACUAGGAGGAUGGGAUCAUCCUCCCUCUGAAAACCAAGUCCUGCCAAAUCAGAGCAUCAUUUCCACACACCUGCUUUGUCUGGCCAGCAUCUGAUGAAUUAGGCUGUUGCCUAGGAAGGUUUGCACCUCUCUGAACAAGUUAGCCUUGAAGGUGCAUGGUGCCCUACCUUCUUUCUGAUUUAAGAC